rnacentral:rRNA from 1 species
GAUGAACGCUAGCUACAGGCUUAACACAUGCAAGUCGCGGGGCAGCAUGGGGGUUGCUUGCAAUCCCCGAUGGCGACCGGCGCACGGGUGAGUAACGCGUAUCCAACCUGCCCUUCACCACGGGAUAGCCCGGCGAAAGUCGGACUAAUACCGUAUGUUGUCCAUUGACGGCAUCCGAUUUGGACGAAAGGUUUGGCGGUGAAGGAUGGGGAUGCGUCCGAUUAGCUGGACGGCGGGGUGACGGCCCACCGUGGCGACGAUCGGUAGGGGUUCUGAGAGGAAGGUCCCCCACACUGGAACUGAGACACGGUCCAGACUCCUACGGGAGGCAGCAGUGAGGAAUAUUGAUCAAUGGGCGUAAGCCUGAACCAGCCAAGUAGCGUGCAGGAUGACGGCCCUAUGGGUUGUAAACUGCUUUUAUGCGGGGAUAAAGUGGCCCACGUGUGGGUUUUUGCAGGUACCGCAUGAAUAAGGACCGGCUAAUUCCGUG